UGGGGAAUAUUGCACAAUGGGCGCAAGCCUGAUGCAGCCAUGCCGCGUGUGUGAAGAAGGCCUUCGGGUUGUAAAGCACUUUCAGCGAGGAGGAAGGUGGUGAACUUAAUACGUUCAUCAAUUGACGUUACUCGCAGAAGAAGCACCGGCUAACUCCGUGCCAGCAGCCGCGGUAAUACGGAGGGUGCAAGCGUUAAUCGGAAUUACUGGGCGUAAAGCGCACGCAGGCGGUUUGUUAAGUCAGAUGUGAAAUCCCCGGGCUCAACCUGGGAACUGCAUUUGAAACUGGCAAGCUAGAGUCUCGUAGAGGGGGGUAGAAUUUCAGGUGUAGCGGUGAAAUGCGUAGAGAUCUGGAGGAAUACCGGUGGCGAAGGCGGCCCCCCUGGACGAAGACUGACGCUCAGGUGCGAAAAGCGUGGGGGAGCAAAACAGGAUUAGAUACCCCUGGUAGUCCACGCUGUAAAACGAUGUCGAUUUUGGAGGUUGUGCCCCUUGAGGCGUGGCUUCCGGAGCUAACGCGUUAAAUCGACCGCCUGGGGAGUACGGCC
rnacentral:rRNA from 1 species